UUGGAACGAUGGCGAAUGGACUGCUUUGUGGGUUGGCGGCGAAUAGUGAGAUAAUUAUUUGUUUAUUGAAGUAUCGAAAGAUGUUUUAAUGAAUAAGUAAUUGUUUUGCAAUUUGCUUGCCUCAUUUACGAAGUACGUUUUCAUUUGCAAAAAAGAUUUCUCUGCGCAAUUGGAAUUAUCGGCAAUAAAAUGAAUGUAAUAUUUUAAUUGGCUGCUUAUUUUUACAAAUAAAUGGCUAAUUAAAUUAUUAUGUUUAUUUUGUUGCCGAUAUUUCAAAUUGCGCAGGAAAUCCCAACAAUUUUCACCGAUCAAUCUUUUGCAUAAAUGUGUCAUGUCUGCAUGAUAAAGUGUGUUUAUAAAUAUUGCUAGUUAACAUAAAGAAGAAAAGCAGUAAGGGAAAAUUAAAAGAAAGUAAAAUUUCUAUUAAUUUUCCCAAUUGCGUAAUUCUCUAUUAAU
rnacentral:misc_RNA from 1 species